GACGAACGCUGGCGGCGUGCUUAACACAUGCAAGUCGAGCGGUAAGGCCCUUUCGGGGGUACACGAGCGGCGAACGGGUGAGUAACACGUGGGUGACCUGCCCUUAGCUCUGGGAUAAGCCUGGGAAACUGGGUCUAAUACCGGAUAUGACUCCAUGACGCAUGUUGUGGGGUGGAAAGCCUUGUGCGGCUAGGGAUGGGCCCGCGGCCUAUCAGCUUGUUGGUGGGGUGAUGGCCACCAAGGCGACGACGGGUAGCCGGCCUGAGAGGGCGACCGGCCACACUGGGACUGAGACACGGCCCAGACUCCUACGGGAGGCAGCAGUGGGGAAUCUUGCGCAAUGGGCGAAAGCCUGACGCAGCGACGCCGCGUGGGGAUGACGCCU
rnacentral:rRNA from 1 species